ensembl:snRNA U6 U6 spliceosomal RNA
UUGCUUUGACAGCAUAUAUACUAAAAGUGGAAUAAUACAAAAGAGAUUAGGAUGGCCCCUGUGUAAGGAUGGCAUGCAAAUUAGUGAAGCAUUUCAUCUUUAU